ACUUAAUUGCAGCCUGCUAAUUUGAUCGUAGGUUUCUCCGCCACCUGGUUCUUCAGCUUAGAAACGAUGAGAUUUUUUUUUUCUCGACCAGAAACGAUGAGAUUUUCUCCGCUGACGUUACAUCUUUCCACCAUUCCGCCGCAUUCAAGCAGAUUCAAUGCGAUCUUCCCACUCCCCAGCAUUCAAUCCGACUUCUUGUGUUCUUAGCGGAACUCACUGGAGGCUUGGGUAUAAGUACCCCUUCAUCCAGAGAUGCAGAUCACACUUUCUCUUCGAAUCUUACGAAACCGCUGUUCAACUUCCUGAUACUUACAAUGGCGAAUGCCCAGGUCCUUCUUGCUACGCUGAACGUUGGGCGGUGCUCUGAUGCUGUGGACUUAGGUUGUUACGCUUUUGGGAAGCUAGGAACGUCAGGAGAGGUGGGGAGCUUAUGAGCCUUGACAUGCUCUUUGUCGAUUAGGAUUCGACACUUCUGCAAGGAUCUAUUGGUGCGAGCCGUCAACUUAGGUUUCGGGAACGUUUCAGUGAAGGGUCUCUGUAAAUCAAAAUUUGCAAUCUGUGUUAGAGAACACCACGUGAAUGCCAUACGCUACCAAACACCUUCCCUCAAUAACGUUGGAGACAUGAGCGUUAAAACCAUCUACAACUAAAAGACUCAGAGCACUCAACGCCUUCACAGUGUUUUUGACAGGCUAGCUGCACCUAAAGAGGGUCGUUGCAACAAAAAUAAACCCAAAACUUGUCGGAGGGGAGGCUGUUUCUGGACGCCACAUCGGGAACGAAUUUAUAUCUUGACAACAAGUGUGGAGUGAGCAAUAGAUUUCUCAAAAAAAUAGGAUCUUUUAAUUUGUAUGAUAUCUUUUGCUUUAUAAUUUCUACACGGUACCUACGGACCUCUUUAACAUUUUCAAGACAUUAUUGGCAAUCAAGAGCACAAUAAACGGCGGUACACAUGGGACUCAGCGUGUAAUUCUGACUCUACGUCUACAAUGGAAGUGUAAUUUUUUACAACUUUGUAUGAUAUCUUAUUCUCCAAGAAUUUCAUCUUCAUUGAUACUUUACAGCGAUGUGAA